rnacentral:rRNA from 1 species
GACAGAGGGGGCAAGCGUUGUUCGGAAUUACUGGGCGUAAAGGGCUGGUAGGCGGCCAACUAAGUCGGAUGUGAAAUCCCCAGGCUUAACCUGGGAACUGCAUCCGAUACUGGUCGGCUUGAAUCCGGGAGAGGGAUGCAGAAUUCCAGGUGUAGCGGUGAAAUGCGUAGAUAUCUGGAGGAAUACCGGUGGCGAAGGCGGCAUCCUGGACCGGCAUUGACGCUGAACAGCGAAAGCUAGGGGAGCAAACGGG